rnacentral:rRNA from 1 species
GACGAACGCUGGCGGCGUGCUUAACACAUGCAAGUCGAACGGAAAGGCCCUGCUUUUGUGGGGUGCUCGAGUGGCGAACGGGUGAGUAACACGUGAGUAACCUGCCCUUGACUUUGGGAUAACUUCAGGAAACUGGGGCUAAUACCGGAUAGGAGCUCCUGCUGCAUGGUGGGGGUUGGAAAGUUUCGGCGGUUGGGGAUGGACUCGCGGCUUAUCAGCUUGUUGGUGGGGUAGUGGCUUACCAAGGCUUUGACGGGUAGCCGGCCUGAGAGGGUGACCGGCCACAUUGGGACUGAGAUACGGCCCAGACUCCUACGGGAGGCAGCAGUGGGGAAUAUUGCACAAUGGGCGGAAGCCUGAUGCAGCAACGCCGCGUGCGGGAUGACGGCCUUCGGGUUGUAAACCGCUUUCGCCUGUGACGAAGCGUGAGUGACGGUAAUGGGUAAAGAAGCACCGGCUAACUACGUGCCAGCAGCCGCGGUGAUACGUAGGGUGCGAGCGUUGUCCGGAUUUAUUGGGCGUAAAGGGCUCGUAGGUGGUUGAUCGCGUCGGAAGUGUAAUCUUGGGGCUUAACCCUGAGCGUGCUUUCGAUACGGGUUGACUUGAGGAAGGUAGGGGAGAAUGGAAUUCCUGGUGGAGCGGUGGAAUGCGCAGAUAUCAGGAGGAACACCAGUGGCGAAGGCGGUUCUCUGGGCCUUUCCUGACGCUGAGGAGCGAAAGCGUGGGGAGCGAACAGGCUUAGAUACCCUGGUAGUCCACGCUGUAAACGGUGGGUACUAGGUGUGGGGUCCAUUCCACGGGUUCCGUGCCGUAGCUAACGCUUUAAGUACCCCGCCUGGGGAGUACGGCCGCAAGGCUAAAACUCAAAGGAAUUGACGGGGCCCCGCACAAGCGGCGGAGCAUGCGGAUUAAUUCGAUGCAACGCGUAGAACCUUACCUGGGUUUGACAUGGAUCGGGAGCGCUCAGAGAUGGGUGUGCCUCUUUUGGGGUCGGUUCACAGGUGGUGCAUGGCUGUCGUCAGCUCGUGUCGUGAGAUGUUGGGUUAAGUCCCGCAACGAGCGCAACCCUUGUUCACUGUUGCCAGCACGUUAUGGUGGGGACUCAGUGGAGACCGCCGGGGUCAACUCGGAGGAAGGUGGGGAUGACGUCAGGUCAUCAUGCCCCUUAUGUCCAGGGCUUCACGCAUGCUACAAUGGCUGGUACAGAGAGUGGCGAGCCUGUGAGGGUGAGCGAAUCUCGGAAAGCCGGUCUCAGUUCGGAUUGGGGUCUGCAACUCGACCUCAUGAAGUCGGAGUCGCUAGUAAUCGCAGAUCAGCAACGCUGCGGUGAAUACGUUCCCGGGGCU